rnacentral:rRNA from 1 species
AGUGAACGCUGGCGGUAGGCCUAACACAUGCAAGUCGAACGGCAGCACAGUAAGAGCUUGCUCUUACGGGUGGCGAGUGGCGGACGGGUGAGGAAUACAUCGGAAUCUACUUUUUCGUGGGGGAUAACGUAGGGAAGCUUACGCUAAUACCGCAUACUACCUACGGGUGAAAGCAGGGGAUCUUCGGACCUUGCGCGAUUGAAUGAGCCGAUGUCGGAUUAGCUAGUUGGCGGGGUAAAGGCCCACCAAGGCGACGAUCCGUAGCUGGUCUGAGAGGAUGAUCAGCCACACUGGAACUGAGACACGGUCCAGACUCCUACGGGAGGCAGCAGUGGGGAAUAUUGGACAAUGGGCGCAAGCCUGAUCCAGCCAUACCGCGUGGGUGAAGAAGGCCUUCGGGUUGUAAAGCCCUUUUGUUGGGAAAGAAAAGCAGCAGGUUAAUACCCCGCUGUUCUGACGGUACCCAAAGAAUAAGCACCGGCUAACUUCGUG